AGACUAGUCGGACUAAAUAGGGGCUUCUAACCACUAUAAGGGGGUUCAACUCCUCCAUAGUCUU
rnacentral:tRNA from 1 species